CGUGCAGCCCCCUUCGGGGGAGGAGCCUUUUCAGUCGACCAGGCUGAGUAGCGAUCGUCGCCCAAGCGCGCGGUUUCUUACUCUCUCGCUUUGAACUGGGAAAAUUCGCUUUGGGGGAGUGAAGAGGGUAGUCAGUGGCCUGACGAUCACGUCUGGUGAGUUAGGCCAGCCUGAAGCCAGCCCCACACAUGCUAGGCUAGACCGGCCGAACCGUGAGAAAAGUGGGGCUAGCGUCCCGGGAGGGGUGAUCCGAGGGGCCGGGGCCCAAGGGCCCAAGUCCUGGAUCCGAAAUGUUCUUGAGCAAAGAACGGACUCACCUCUCCAGUGGAUCACCCCUUCGGAGGUGGUGCCUGUCGCUGUGCUGGCUGUCCAAAGGUACCUGUUAGGGGAUGAGCCACGCGACCGGAUACCGAAACCGCCUCUUUACUGCUUUGAUGUGACGAUCUCCGACAGGGUGUACCAGCAGUGCUACCUGGUCCCCAGCCUAAACGAUCUCGUGUACAAAAAUAUUCUGAAUGUUGGCAUAGAAAUGAGAAUUUCCAGAGUCUCGUGUCUUUACAACGAGAGAACAGGCCAGGGGAUCCUGUGCAUAGAUAGCGUCCACUGUGGGAAGACCUUGGACACUAUUUCCUUAGAAACUCCCCUUAGAAAUAGUGCGCACGAGGAGAUACAAAAGAGGCCUUGAAGGGGCGGUAGGAGUCUUUUACCUGGCGCUGUGGAAUAAGGAAGACCCGUAUGGAGAUAUCCGGCUAAGGAACAAGAAACCUGAGGAACACAGUUGUUAUGGUCGAGAAAGCACAAGCACUGGUACCCCAGGGAAAGCCAGGAAAGCCAGGAAAACUGCGGUACACCUUCUUGGGAUCCAGGACAUCUAGUCUGACAGACCCUGAAGUUUCCGGGAUGGAAAGAACACAUUCGGCAAGUGUGCUGCUAGAAUGAUGAAUCCCAUGAACAACUUACGGUCAUCACAGGAGGGUCAGAGAUUCCAGGAGGCAUGAGAGGAGGCUGCUGAAACCUCAACAGUAAAGGACUCUCCAGGAGUCCCUACCAGGAGCGACUGCUGUUUUGCAAUCUGGACAAAUUCUGGUGCCUUUUGCCCAUAGGGGGCCCUUUGAAGCAUUCUCAGUGAGCAUUCCUGUGGUGAUGAAUACUGGGGAAAGAUAUCUGACUGCUUCUGUGGUUGAAUAACCUGAGUUCAGAUUUGGGUGCUUCACGUCCCACCUUUGUAACCUUGGGAAACAGCAACUUUCAGGUGCCUGUUUCCUCAGACCUUGGACAAUCCUGUGUUCUGCCAUUCUUUUGUUUCAUCAAUUUUAAGAAGUGAAAAUAUGGAGUGCUUUUUGCAUUUGCAUUCUUUAUAUUAUUAUUGAGGAAGGUAAGUUUUAUUAUUCACUGACCAUUGUCUUUUUAAUGUUUCCUUAUUUUAGGUAUGAGGGUGUGUGAUAAAUUUCAUUUUUCUUCCCCAGGCAAUUUGUGACAAAGUUUAGAUAGAUAUCUAAAUAUUUAUUUGCUGGCAAUUUAAAUGCUGGUGAUAGUGCCAGCAUUUCUAGGCUGAAAUUUGACUUUCUCAUGGACCAGGUGAAGAGGGGUCUCUAUAUUAACAUUAAUAACUGGACAUUUUUGACACCUUUAUUUAUCUUUGAUAUUCCAGACAAAAUACAGUGCACAUUUGACCUCUAAUCAAUCCUUGCAAGGAAAAAAUAUUGAUUGUUGGUCUAUUUGUCAGAAAAGGAAACUAGGUAACAGUAGCUAAGAGAAAAGCAUACAGCCAUAUACUGCUUAAGCAGCAGAACUACACUCAAACCUCAUCUACUUUUCUUAAUGAUUCUGUGAUUGGAAAGCUUACCCAUGGAACCACCUAAUUUUAAUCCAUGAGAAAAUAUAAUGGCUGGAAUGUGGGUCAUGAUGCAUGUUUUGGUUUUCUCCUAUACAGAAAUUAUUGCAAACUUUGUUUCACAUAUAUAUAGGCAUGACUGUCUAUCGUGGCCUUACUCCUGUGUAUCCUAGGAAAAGCAUGGUGGCUUCUUAAAAAAAAACCUCAGGGUUAACCACAAAGGGAGCUUUCUUUUUGUUUAAUUCUGAGAUGAACUGUAUCACAGAACCGUUGUGUCUUUGUAAACUGAAUAUAUGUGGCAGAAACAUAUAUUUGUGUGCAUUGAUAAAUUAUUGUGCUCCUUAUCAAUCCUCAUUAGAUUUCUCUUUAAGAUUCUUAACUUAUCCUAUCUGUAAGAGUCAUACAACUGAACCUUCUUAUUACUGGCAAAUGUGUAAAUUGUAGCACUGCCUGAAGAAAGCAGAUUCCAAAAUGUCACCAAUUCAAAUUAAUUUCUCAGUGACUGCCAACCACAGGGAAGUCUAUGGGAGUUCAAUCUCUUGUCAGGACUCUUUUCUCUCUCACUAUUGUCUUCAUACAUAUUUUUCCAUAUAUUAAUCUGUCUGUUUGGGCCCAGAUAUUAACUCCAUGUGAGCCUUGCAUUCCUCUGUAUCUGGAGAGUUUGACAUCUCUGCCUUCUCCUAUCAUGGUGUUUAUUCAGAGUAUCCUGAGAGUUUGUGGGCAUUCCACCCACAUCAACUGACUUACCCUCAUGACAGCCUGUUAUAACAAGAGUAUCUCUGAUCACAACUUAUGUAUUGUUCAAAGGAAAAAAACCCUUUCCCAUAUAUUGCUGUGGCCCUGUGUUCCUCAUAGUGCCAUCACAAUGUCAAGUUCUAACAUUUUAUCUUCUACUUCUCUCAUUCAUUUGAAGCAAUAUGAGUCACAUGUGAGACUUUGUGGUCUGGUACAAUACUGAUGCUCUAACAAUAAAUUUAAUGUGUCAUAAAAAGCAUUUGUUCAUCUUGUGCCUUAAGUACCAAGGAAUUUCUUAUUGACUGGGGUUACAGUGACUUAUGCCUGGAGGUUGAGGUAAUAAAGCAGUGUUAGGCAGUGACUGGGCCUUCUGUGCAUCAAGGUCUGCUACCAAAAUUCCCAUGACAAGCUUUAGUAGAAUUGAGCGUGUGUUUCUGUUGGCCAAUGGAAGGAAACACCCAGAACCCUCCUGAGGCAUUCACUGAAGGGCAUCUCCAGUGCCUCCUCCCCAUUCUUGAGUCCAGGAGUCAACUGUGGUGAUUGAGUAUUGGAGGUAAUUAUAUGCUAUCUACAUAUAACCUUCGGAGAUCCAAAGACACAAAUUGGUUGGAAGUAAAAGGAUGGAAAAAGAUGUUUCGUGAAAAUGGUAACCAACAAAAAGUAGGAUUUACUCUAAUAAUAUCAGAAAAAAUACAUUGUAAGACAAAAAUUCUCAUAAGAGACAAAGAGACAUCAUACAAUAAUAAAAAGAUCUAUGCAUCAAGAAGAUAUAACAAUUAUAAACAUGUAUCUAAUUAUUGAGCUCUAACAUAUACAAAGCAAAAAAAAUUGACAAAACUGAAGAAAUAGUUUUAUAAUAAUAGACACAAGAACAUCAAGAACACCCCACUUUUAAUAAUGUAUAGAACCAGUAGACAGAAGAUAAACAAGAAGACGAUUUAAACCAAACUAUAAAACAAGUAAACUAAGAGACAUGUAUAGAACAUUCUACCUACCAAGAGCAGAAUACACAUAAUUUUCAAGUACAUAUGGAAAAUUCUCCAGGAAGAGACCAUAUGUUAGGCCACUAAAAAACUCAAUAAAUUCAGAAAGAUUAAAAUUAUGUAAAAUGUGUUCCCUGACCAAAAUGGAAUGAAAUUAGAAAUAAAAAACGGAAGGGAAUCAUGUUAAUUCACAAAUAUGUGAAGUGAUAGACACACUCUUUAAAGAAAACCAAUGAGUCAAAAAAGAAUCACAAGGGAAACUAGAAAAUAAUUCGAGACAAAUGAAAAUGAAAACACAAUGUACCAAGACUUGUGGGAUGCAGCAAAAUCAGUGCUCAGAUGGAUAUUUAUAGCCAUAAGCACAUAUAUUAAAAAAGAAAGAUCUCAGAUCAAUAUCCUGACUUUUUACCUUAAGAAACCAGAAAAAGAAGAGCAAACUAAGUCCAAUCCCAAUAGAAGCAAUGAAAUAAUAGAGAUUUAACUGGAUACUUACAAAAAGGAGAAAAAAUAGAAUCAACAAAGCCAAUAUUAUUUCUUUUAAAAUAUUAAUAAAACUGACAUACUGUUAGCUAUAAUGGCCAAAAAAAGAUUAGAUUGAAAUUACUGAUGGAUUGUUGGUGAAUGCUGUUAACCAUUGUAUUCUAAUAAAUUAGAUAACUUAGAUGAAAUAGACAUUUGUAGAAAUAUGCAAACAAAACUGAUUCAAGAAUAGAAAAUCUGAACAGUACUAUAAAUAUAAUGGGAUUUCAUCAGUAAUUUUAAAAAAUUCCAACAAAGAAAAGCUCAAAACAAGUGGCUUGAUGGUGAGUUCUAGCAAACAUUUAAGGAAAAUUAACACCAAUUCUCAAACACCUUGAAAAUCAGAAGAGGAAAAAACACUUCCUAAUUCAUACUAUGAGACCAGUAUCACCCAGACACAAAAGACUGACAAAGACAUUACAAGAAAAGAAAACUACAGAUUAAUAACCCUUAUGAAUAUAGAUGAAAGAGUACUCUCCAAAAUAGUAGCAAAGUCAUUCUAGCAUUUUAUUAAAAGGACCAUACACCACUGUAAAUUGGGAUUUCUCCUAGGAAUGUGAGGGUGAGACAACAGUGUAACACAUUAUAUUAAUAAAAUGAAGGGAAAAGCCACAUAAUCAUCUCAGUUGAUGAAUGAGAGUGUUUGACAAAAUUCAACACCCUUUCAUGAUAAAUAAAACAACAAGCUAGAAAUCAAAGGAAGUUUCCUUAAUGUAAUAGAGGGCAUUUAAAAAGACCCCAAAGCUAAUAGCAGCCUUAAUUGUGACAGACUGAAAACCUUCCCCUUAAGAUAAAAAAUAAGACAAGGAUAUUCACUUUUGCCACUUCUUUAACUCCAUAAUUAAUAACAAACUACGAUCCUUUCAAAUUUGAAUUUUGGUUUCUGACAUUUUCCAUAGGACAAAAUAUAUGUGCAUUGGCAGGAAUAGGAAUCGUUUACAUUGGAAUGGACAGGAAACAUUGGCGUUUACUAUCAGUUUUCCACAAGUUAACUUUUGUCUCUUACAGAGUGGAAAAGUAGCCUAAUCAAUCAAAGACGAUGAAAGAGGCUUACCUAUGUACAAUGGGAUACUCCUAUAGGGCCCACUGGCCAAUGCUCAACAUUCCACUGAAAGUGCCUCCAGUAAUCCUGUGGUUAUUAUACUAAGUAUUUGACAUAUCUAAAACCAAUGCUUGAAAAAGGGAUUAUCAGAAUCUAAUUUUCAAAUUUGUAUAUUGGAGAGGCAUGGAUACUUCUUACAUGACUGAAAGGCUAAUUUAUUAUAUAGGAAUUUAAUUUUUAACUAAAAGCAAAGGUGGCAAAAUUCAAUGUUAUAAAAUAUAUUAGAAAAUGUAAAAUACUCAUUUCAGAAUUUCAUUGUUUGAUCAUCCUCAAUAGACUGUGGAGUUAGUGUGGGAAAAUUUCUAGUAGUAAUAUUUGCCCUUCAUGUUGAUUUAAUUGUGAAUUCUUACCUCACAGGCUUAGAUAUUUUAUUCAAAGAUAAGUUGAAGUACUGGAUACUUGUUUCUCUGAGAAAUUGGAGAUAGAGUAAAACUAGUUGGAUGAUGCUCAGUAUCCUAAAAUCAUCAUGUGAUUCUAAAGGUGUGUAUGAAUUUAGCAACAGAGGAUAUAUUGGGACAGAAACAAAGAAUGAGGUAACAGGGAAGUUUAAUGGUUUUACUUAAAAGAUUUACCUAUUAUUUAUAAUGAGAAAUAUAUUACUUUUUCAGUAGAAAAAUAACUCAAAUUAUUAUUUCUAGGGUUUGUGGAAUGUACCUCAUCAAAGUGAUUCACAUUAAGAUUAGACAAAUGAGAAUUCCAAGGAAUGUGAAAAUAUGCUGUGGAAUUGUUUUAAAGGGUAUUCAUAGAGUUUAUAAAACUGUAUGUAUGGAUAGAAUAAAAUCUGGAAGAAUAGACACAUAGUUUACACUGAACCUUUUAAUUCAUUGUGAGAAUUUUCAAUAAGCAUUCCUAUGAAGAGGGACAAAAAAAGAAAUAAUAUCUGCCAUUGUGAUACACUGCACAUUGUUCUAAGGGGAAGACACAGAGGCAUACAGACUAGCUUUGUCAUUAGGUGACAGUGGAAUAUCCCAUGGGCUGGACAGUCUUACCUCUGAAGCUUGCCUCUAGUUGCCCUACAGUUCCUAGGUGUUUUCCUUUCAGUCUCACUGUGCAGAAUACCAGUCUGGUCAGCAGGUGGCACUUAUCUAUAUUCCUGUGAUUCCUCAGAACAGAGAGGUAUUAAAUAUACUUUUUGAAAAAGAUGCUUACGAUACAACAUGGGGAACAAUACAAACAUAUAAAUUCAUACAUCCAAUUAAAUAAUAAUGCAGUGUAUACAAAGUGAGGUAGAAUGCUAUGUAGUGAUAUGGAAUGAUGUUAAGUUGCAUGAAAACAAAAUUCUAGAAUAACAUGCAUUGAAUGACACAAUUUGGGGGGAAAAUGCCACUGAAAUGGAUUACAGAUGCUCAUGCCUCCUUAUCAUUAACUGAAGACAGAUCCUCUGAGCAUUCGUGUAGGCUGCACAUAGACAUGAGGAAUGUAGUAGACCUAAUUUCUCACUACCUGACUGCAGAAGGCACUUUGCAGGCUGAAACCAUAAAUGUGUUGUAUUUUUUUGGAGAGAAAUGGUGAGAGAUGAUGAAUUGAAAGUCAGCUUGUGAGACUGUAUGAUGCAGAUUUAUGGCCACCUUCCUGAAUUCUACAAAAACAGUUGUUCUCAAACUUUUUGUUCUGAAGACCCCACAAAGGUUUUAAGUGCCUAUGUUUGUCAGUAAUUGAAAAUUAGAAAAUAAUGCUAAGAACUUAUAAAUUAUUUGUUUAAAAAAGAAAUGUUAAACUAUUUUUUUGCUUCAAUAAAAAGA